CCAUGUUCCAUGUUCCAUGUUCUAUGCUCCGUUCACCACAGCAUAAGAACACAGUUUGUUGCACAUCCAGUCAGUCAGUCAGUUUCAAACCUCGCAUCUACACACUGAAGUUUUCCGGACCUACACUUGCAGAAAGCAACCAUGUAAUGCCUCAGGAGUCUGUAGAGGGGACGAAGACGCAUUCUGCUGCACUUAACAGAGCUCAAGACCAACGGGACGCCAUCAGGACGGCAUCAGGACGCCACGUCAUCGGGACGGCAUCAGGACACCACGUCAUCGGGACGCCAUCAGGACGCCGCAUCAACCCCUCAGGAGCAAAUCCAGAUCUACUCAUGAAACCCACACACACCCACACACACAUGUACUCACAGACACACUAACAUUUGGUUCUAAACAAAGACACACACUAACAUUUAGAUGUACACAAAGACACAUUAAUAUUUAGAUAUAUACACAGACACACUAACAUUUAGAUGUACACACAGACACACUAAGAAUUAGAUGUACACACAGACACACUAAGAAUUAGAUGUACACACAGACACACUAUCAUUUGGUUCUAAACAAUGACACACACUAAUAUUUUAGAUACCCACUAACAAUUAGAUCUACACACAGACACACUAACAAUUAGAUCUACACACAGACACACUAUCAUUUGGUUCUAAACAAAAACACACACUAAUAUUUAGAUGUUCACAAAGACACAAUAACAAUUAGAUGUACACAAAGACACAAUAACAAUUAGAUGUACACACAGACACACUAACAUUUGGUUCUAAACAAAGACACACACUAACAUUUAGAUGUACACAAAGACACAUUAUUAUUUAGAUGUACACACAGACACACUAACAAUUAGAUGUACACACAGACACACUAACAUUUGGUUCUAAACAAAGACACACACUAAUAUUUAGAUGUACACAAAGACACACUAACAUUUAGAUGAACACACACACACUAACAUUUAGAUGUACACACAGACACACUAUCAUUUGGUUCUAAACAAAGACACGCACUAAUAUUUAGAUGUACACUAAGACACAAUAACAAUUAGAUGUACACAAAGACACAAUAACAAUUAGAUGUACACACAGACACACUAACAAUUAGAUGUACACACAGACACACUAACAUUUGGUUCUAAACAAAGACACACACUAACAUUUAGAUGUACACAAAGACACA
ensembl:lncRNA